rnacentral:lncRNA from 1 species
UUCUAUAGGCUCAGAUGGCUCGAUUAAUUUCUCAUCAUCUAAACAUAAUGUAGAAAAAUGAUUGGAAUGAGGUCCAAUGCGCCCUAACUUAUGAAUUGCAUUAUUUUUUACAUCCUCAUAUUUACACAUACUAGAGUUUUUAAAAAUAAUAUUAUCUACUUCAUUACAUAACUCUAGUGCACUCUUCUCAACAGUGACAACAUCAAUAACAGUAUGAUCAAGCAAUUGGCCC